AGAGUUUGAUCAUGGCUCAGAUUGAACGCUGGCGGCAGGCCUUACACAUGCAAGUCGAGCGGAAACGAGAGGUGCUUGCACCUCGGCGUCGAGCGGCGGACGGGUGAGUAAUGCCUAGGUAGUUGCCUGACAGAGGGGGACAACCAUUGGAAACGAUGGCUAAUACCGCAUAAUCUUUUACCUUGUAAAAGCAAAGCAGGGGACCUUCGGGCCUUGCGCUGUUAGAUACGCCUAGGUGAGAUUAGCUAGUUGGUAAGGUAAUGGCUUACCAAGGCGACGAUCUCUAGCUGGUCUGAGAGGAUGAUCAGCCACACUGGAACUGAGACACGGCCCAGACUCCUACGGGAGGCAGCAGUGGGGAAUAUUGCACAAUGGGCGAAAGCCGGAUGCAGCCAUGCCGCGUGUGUGAAGAAGGCCUUAGGGUUGUAAAGCACUUUCAGUGGUGAGGAAGGGCGUAGAGUUAAUACCUUUGCGCUUUGACGUUAGCCACAUAAGAAGCACCGGCUAACUCCGUGCCAGCAGCCGCGGUAAUACGGAGGGUGCGAGCGUUAAUCGGAAUUACUGGGCGUAAAGCGCAUGUAGGUGGUUAAUUAAGUCAGAUGUGAAAGCCCGGAGCUUAACUUCGGAAGGUCAUUUGAAACUGGUUUACUAGAGUGCUGUAGAGGGGGGUAGAAUUUCA
rnacentral:rRNA from 1 species